rnacentral:rRNA from 1 species
UACGAAGGGGGCUAGCGUUGUUCGGAAUUACUGGGCGUAAAGCGCGCGCAGGCGGUCUUCCAAGUCAGUGGUGAAAGCCCGGAGCUCAACUCCGGAACUGCCAUUGAAACUGUAAGACUUGAGGAUGAGAGAGGUGAGUGGAAUUCCCAGUGUAGAGGUGAAAUACGUAGAUAUUGGGAAGAACACCGGUGGCGAAGGCGGCUCACUGGCUCAUAUCUGACGCUCAGGCGCGACAGCGUGGGGAUCAAACAGG